GGAAGUAAAAGUCGUAACAAGGUUUCCGUAGGUGAACCUGCGGAAGGGAUCAUUAUCGUUGGCUUCGGCCCAUUCGAGAUAACACCCUUGCCUUUUUGAGUACCUUUUCGUUUCCUCGGCAGGCUCGCCUGCCAACGGGGACCCCAAAAACGCUUUGUAAUACCUGUCAUUGUCUGAUAUAACAAGCAAAAAUUAAAACUUUCAACAACGGAUCUCUUGGUUCUGGCAUCGAUGAAGAACGCAGCGAAAUGCGAUAAGUAGUGUGAAUUGCAGAAUUCAGUGAAUCAUCGAAUCUUUGAACGCACAUUGCGCCCUUUGGUAUUCCUUAGGGCAUGCCUGUUCGAGCGUCAUUUAAACCUUCAAGCUCAGCUUGGUGAUGGGUGACUGUCCUCCCCUCGCGGGGGGACUCGCCUCAAAAACAUUGGCGGCCGGUACAUUGGCUUCGAGCGCAGCAGAAACGCGGUCUCGAGCCCGGUGGAUCGGCUCCCAUAAGCCUCUUCUUUUAUUUUGACCUCGGAUCAGGUAGGGAUACCCGCUGAACUUAAGCAUAUCAAUAAGCGGAGGA
rnacentral:rRNA from 1 species